GAAAUGCGAUAAGUAGUGUGAAUUGCAGAAUUCAGUGAAUCAUCGAAUCUUUGAACGCACAUUGCGCCCUUUGGUAUUCCUUAGGGCAUGCCUGUUCGAGCGUCAUCUAAACCUUCAAGCCCUGCUUGGUGUUGGGUGCCUGUCCCGCCUCCGCGCGCGGACUCACCUCAAAUCCAUUGGCGGCCCCCGCGUCGGCCACGAGCGCGGCAGAAACGCGAACUCGUGAGCCCGUCCGGGCGGCUCCCAGAAGCUACACCCACCCAGUUUGACCUCGGAUCAGGUAGGGAUACCCGCUGAACUUAAGC
rnacentral:misc_RNA from 1 species